AUGGUUUGGAGCAGAGGUUUACCCAUUAAACUGUGUCCUCUGAUGAGCAUGCGCAUUUUGGCAUAUAAUGCGUUCCAUGAUUUUGUGAUUGUGGAGGAUUAUUGAAGAUAAUCUCAAGGCAAUUUAUUUAUUUCUGUUGGGCUAAUCCCUUCGUCGGAGCACAGCUCAUUUUCAAGUGGCUGCUGCGUUGCCUUGCUGUUUUCCCCCACCCCUUCAGUGCGACAGCCUCGGAGCUGGUGGAAAGGCAGAAAGUACGCAACUGGAUAAAUUCAUAGAUGCGGAAUUCAUGGAUCAAAUGGUACUUGCAGAGUUAAAGCUGUCUGGACUCAGUUCCUGGAAUUUUCUAGAAUGGUGUAACAGGAAAAUGUAAGAAAUGUAUGAGGAGCAGAAAUAAAAAUGUUUGCCAGGCUGUUGCUGACAGUAGUGUGAUCUAGAGAUAGAGGAUUUUAAGGGAGUCUUGCCUGGAAAAAGACUUGCGCCAGCAGUUACAAUUCGCCCUUUAAUGCCUACACUGCUCAAAUAGUACAAACACUCAUUUGCACCUCCAGCUACAGACCUGGUACACACAGACUUGCCCUACUCACACAGACACACCUCAAAGCAUGGCCGUGAGUGUCCCAGCAAAAGACCUGUCCUGUAGUACAGGGAUACUUCCCAUAUCAUUAGAGUCACCUCAAAAUGGAGACCCACCUAAGGGACACUGAACUGCCCCAUUGGACAGAAAUGGCUUUCACAGGCAAUACCACCCUCACAGCCUGUCUUCAUAUCAGUCAGACUCUUUCUAGGACACCAAGACAUACAGAUUCAUGGCAUACACCGCAGUCCCCCCACAGCCCGCAGAGAUUACUCAUAUUCAAAAAUAUCGCCAUGGAGCACGGGCAGUGCACAGCACAGACACUCACCGGAGCCCACAGGACUCUCCACACAAUGCAGACUCAUGACCUCAAAACUCCGCUACAACAGACAGCCUCGUCACACCACAUAGGACACUGACCAUCCCAGCAGGAUAUACUCAUCCGUGCUGUACAGCCACUUUCCGUGUUAUGUAUACCACACAGAUUCUCCCUGUGAAACACAGACUGGAUCCACAGUACACAGUCCCAACAGCAUGCAGACAGGUCUGGCCCACCCCACAGGGAUGCUGCUGAGUCCUGCAGUACACGUGUCACACUGAGCUGCACAGAAUUGCAUCGCGACAAAUAGAUUGUCCUUCAGUGUGCUGGCUCAUUUCACCACAAACACAGUGACCAUAUAAUGGAAAGGCUUUCUUUACAGGCAUUCUCAUCCUAUAACAUCUGACCACCCCCUCCAAAUUCACCCUCCCAACACACACCUCGGCCUGCUGUCACUAGAACACAUUCCGGAUUCUGCAGACACGCUGUAGUAAAUGGACAUAUGUCACAGUGCAUGGCACAACACUGCAGCAUGCACAUGGGCACUGUGGUGGACAAAAGCAUAACGCGUUAAGAGCAUUUCACAGUCCACCUUUCCCUCACUUCCCACACGACCUCCACUGUGGGCACACAUCCCACAGCACAACGCCCCAGCCCCACAAUGCUCAGAAUGAUGGCAUGGCAUGCACUUGCUAUCCGGCUUCAUUUCAUCAAACUGCACUGCUUACACAGUGUGGGCACAUGCGCCACAACAUCUAAAACCGUUUGCCAAGUGCUGCUCACAUUUACCAGAAAGCACCUGGGCCGUUUUCAUUGCUUACCCUUCUGCCCAGUGUGAGCUGUGUACAGAACAGCACCAAAAUGAAGCUUCUCCCAGGGGCAUACCUACUUUCCUCCCAACUCACACAUGCACCCCUGCACACUGAGACUUACCCCACAUGCGCAGGGCAUGGACUUACGCCACGAUACUUAGAUUUGCCUUAAAAUUCACAGGCAUGCCUAUAAACACAGAGAUUUAUUCCACAAUGAACAGAAUUACCUCCCAACACACAGACCUAGUCUAGAGUACGAAACCUACAAUUACAGAAACAUUUCCCACUGAGUAGACUGCAGCACACAUAUUACCCUCCUUCGCAAAGACUUCCAUUCCAGUGGACGGACAUGAGUUACUGUACUGUUGAGCUACAGCUCUGGCAUACAGCAGAGAUCCGGCUUUUGCAAUGGUUUAGAGCAAGGCCUCUGAACCCAGCCCACCUGGGUUUGAAUCCCAGAUCCCAUCCUUGCUAAACGUGUCACCGUGGCAUAUCGAUUUGCUCCUCAGAUUCUGAAAAGAGGACCCACAUGUUCACACAGAGUUGGAGGAGCUGGAAGACAAGAGAGAAGAGCAGACGAGGGCUUCGCUCCCAGUGCAUAUUGCCAUCUAGUGACCAUAUUGAGUGGUGGCAUUUGUGGUUCUGACCCUGGCCUGGUAACCUGAGCAUGACCUCAGAGUUUCAUGAUACCUUCACAACUGCAAGAGAUUGUCGUGCAGCAUCUGGUUUAACCCUCUUACACCUUUGGGAGAUUUGGAACGAUACGCAAGUCCACAGCACCAUCAUAUUGUCUUGCUGACUGUUUCAUGCAACAAGGCUGGCAUUUGGGUUGCUUGCUUCUCCCUUUGUUGUUAUGCCUGUUGUUCCCUCUGCAGCCAUUUAUCAUGUCCUUGUGUUGUCAUACAAAAACUGUCUAGUCCUUCUUAUUUGUGUUGUGAAUUUAUCAUUCGGUUAUUAAGUAUUACAAGUUAAUAUUGCAAACUGCGUAAUGAUGUGAAAGUUGAAUUGUAAACUUACAUAAAUUAGGAUACGAAUGGGCUCCGAGCCAAAGACAAUGAAAGUAGAUACUAGGAAAAAAAGAAGACUGAAGAGUUUGAGAAAGGUAGUGUUGAUGGCAAAUAAAUGAGAGGUUUCAGAUGCUUGAUACUAGGGGAAAGACAAGAUCUCCAAAGGGCAUUUUUGGCAUUAAUGAAUUCCCAAUUUGUACAGAAAAGAAAAAUGAGAAAUCAGUUAGGGCCAGUGCACUGAAGGAUGCCUCAGAAUUUCUAGGAUUAUACAUACUUCAAAAUGCUGAAAUAGAGACAGUGGAAAUAAAUACACAUUUGUGACUCUUCCAAAACAGAGAAGAUUAAAUGGCCCACUUUCCAUAUAUAUAAUCUACCAGUGAGCAUUACAAAAUGCAAGUUUAACCUUUUAUCUCGGGGAAACAUUCAUGACUGGCAGAGGAAACAGAUCAUGAAGCUGCUGUAGAAUAUCCUGAGUAUCUGAAGAGACCGAUUGAAGAAAUGGUUUGCCUGACCGUGUUUUCAGUGCUGAUGAAAAGUUGUAUUCUGAAAGUGUACACCAACUUGCACAUCCAUUGCAAAGGGUGAGAAAAGGACCAGAUAUUUGAACCCUGGAAGAGACAUCCUCAAAGGACUACUUCAUUCCAUUGCUGCUGGUGACUUCAUUAUUAAUCUCAGGUUGCUCACAAAUUCCAAUGUCCUUGCCCUCUGAAUGCCAAGAACAGGUUUCAGCCUGCAUGAGUGGAAACCAUAAAAUCUAAGCCACUGAAAAACGCUUUCUGAACGGGACAUUGAGUAUGAGAGUUAUCGCUGAUCCUUGUGUUCUAGUCAUUGUCAUUUGCCCCCAUACAAGUUCACUCCUCAGACCCCUGCCUUUGAUAGAACUAAAAAUGUUCAUGAUACACUAUAUUGUAAUAGUAGCGUGACAAAUUUUUUUUCCAUUUUUAAUGACUUAACAGUAGGUAAAGAAUCCAGGAGAGAAAUAAACCAGUCAAGUUUGAAUGGAAACUGGCAGAAACUUUAAAAUAAAGAGAUAGCUAAUUUUCAAGGUAUCUUUCCAAUAGUGGAAAAAUUGAAAAUUUUGUAACAGCUGCAAAACCCUAGGUUGGUGGAAGUUUUGAAGAGAUUAAGUAACAUUGCUGAACUGUUAGGCUCUCACCCUGUGAAACAGCAUUGUGAAAUAUUUCAGAAAUGUGAUCACAUAAAAUGUUGAUAAAAGAGGCCACAGUAGGUUAACAACCAGAGCUCAAAGCAAAUCAAAUUGUUGUGAUGAUUCAGAAGACAGAGAUCCUUCAGUGGAAUAUACAUUGACCUUCAGGCAAGGCUUAAGUGAUUAUCCACAACUCUGUAAAGAAGUAAUAAGAAAUCUUCAAACAGAGGUCAGUAAGUCUUUUCUUUCUGCUUAUUUAACAGGGGAGCAGGAUCUGGACUUCUGCCAUGCCGUCCAAACGCUGCACACAUAGUUGAAUCUUGGGAUUCAGACUCUGAUGGCUCUAACAGUGUGGCGAUCCAUUUGCUGGUGUAUGAAAGUGGACCUGAAGACUGAGUUUACUUCUUGUCAAACAGAAUCUGAUUUUCUCUAUCCUUUCCAUAUCACUGCCAUCAUAACUGCCAUUGUCAUUUGUACAUUAUCAUCUUAACCUUGAGAUCAGAGAGAAAUGGAAAUCAAUUGCCCAAUACUCACUACAUCUAAUGCAAAUUUUGUAAGCUAUCAUUGAGAUUUGGUUUAAUGUUUUAUUUGAGUGAACAGACCAAUUGAGCUUUUGCAAUACUUCCUUCUAGGCCCCAUUUUCCCUAUAAACGAUCUUAAAUUCCUCCAACAUAUGUAUUAUGAGCGUUUCAGGAACUAGCUCUAGAAUCUAAGGAGGGGGCUACUAGACUGAAUUUGACGAUUUGAUUUCUUUUGACCAUAAAGUUUAUUUUAAUUCUGAUUAAGCAUAACCAUCUUAAUAUAAGCAACUAGUUUGGUGUAAGUUAAUUUGUUUUACAGCAAUUAGGUAAGUUAGCCAUCGAAUACUGCUGAAGUACAGUACAUGUAUGAUGAAUUCCUGGAUUUACAUUGGUGCGUUGUCAAAAAGAAAGAGCUUAUAGAGUUCAUUUUCAGAGUUUCCCUCUGUUCUCAGAUCUGGCCCCAUAUCUACUGAUAUAUCUGCUGAUAUAUCUUAUCACUGAUGAUACAUCCUGUUCUCUGAAGAUGAUGGAGAAUUCAUCUCCAGAUUGUUAUUUUAUUUCCUCUUCAAUCCCAUAUAUUUAUUUUAUUGAACUCUCCAGUGCCUUGACUGCUUCAGUACAUUCUUACCUGAAUAUUUGUUUUUAAGUUGGAUUGUUAUUCUGGGUAAUAUAGGCAUACAGAGUCUGAAUAGUAUUGUUUCUUCUGUUUUGACUGCUAUGCGGGUGGGGAUUACAGCAUUGAUACUAUAAUUACAUCUCAUGAUAAUGCACAAGAAAAUCAAAAGGAAUAAAGACAACUCUUUGGCAUGAAAUUACAUAAAGAGAUAUUACUUAGCUUGAAAAAACAAAAUGACAAAGGAGAAUGAUGAAAUUUUUGUACAGUCAUGAAUUAAUGCUGCCUUUGAGCAAUUAUGUCAAGAACUUUACUGGACAUACAUUGAAUUGAGAUUA